GCGCCCGUGGCGAAAUUGGUAGACGCAGUAGAUUUAGGUUCUACCUCCUUACGGAAUAGGGGUUCGAGUCCCCUCGGGCGUACCA
rnacentral:tRNA from 1 species